UAUCAAUAAGCGGAGGAAAAGAAACCAACAGGGAUUGCCCUAGUAACGGCGAGUGAAGCGGCAACAGCUCAAAUUUGAAAUCUGGCGCAAGCCCGAGUUGUAAUUUGUAGAGGAUGCUUCUGGGCAGCGGCCGGUCUAAGUUCCUUGGAACAGGACGUCACAGAGGGUGAGAAUCCCGUAUGUGACCGGCGCGCACCCUCCACGUAGCUCCUUCGACGAGUCGAGUUGUUUGGGAAUGCAGCUCUAAAUGGGAGGUAAAUUUCUUCUAAAGCUAAAUACCGGCCAGAGACCGAUAGCGCACAAGUAGAGUGAUCGAAAGAUGAAAAGCACUUUGGAAAGAGAGUUAAAAAGCACGUGAAAUUGUUGAAAGGGAAGCGCUUGCAACCAGACUCCGCGGCGGUGUUCCGCCGGUCUUCUGACCGGUCCACUCGCCGCCGCGGGGCCAACAUCGUCUGGGGCCGCCGGACAAGACUGGAGGAAUGUAGCUCCCUCGGGAGUGUUAUAGCCUUCAGUGAUGCGGCGCGUCCCGGGCGAGGUCCGCGCUUCGGCAAGGAUGUUGGCGUAAUGGUUGCCAGCGGCCCGUCUUGAAACACGGACCAAGGAGUCUAACAUCUAUGCGAGUGUUCGGGUGUCAAACCCCUACGCGUAAUGAAAGUGAACGGAGGUGGGAGCUUCGGCGCACCAUCGACCGAUCCUGAUGUCCUCGGAUGGAUUUGAGUAAGAGCAUAGCUGUUGGGACCCGAAAGAUGGUGAACUAUGCCUGAAUAGGGUGAAGCCAGAGGAAACUCUGGUGGAGGCUCGCAGCGGUUCUGACGUGCAAAUCGAUCGUCAAAUUUGGGUAUAGGGGCGAAAGACUAAUCGAACCAUCUAGUAGCUGGUUCCUGC
rnacentral:rRNA from 1 species